rnacentral:rRNA from 1 species
AAAGCUCGUAGUUGAAUUUCUGGUCGCGGGCAUCGGUCGGCUCCUCACGGAGUNUGUACUAUGUGUNUGCANCCAUCCUCGGGGAGAGCAUAUNUGGCAUUAANUUGUCGGGUAUGGGAUCCUCGUCAUUUACUGUGAGCAAAAUAGAGUGUUCAAAGCAGGCUUAGGCCGUUGAAUAUAUUAGCAUGGA